GAAGCAAACGUGAUAGGCGCGUUUUAGGCGCGUUUUACAUUACUCGUUUUACUCCUUUACGUUGUCAAAGCUAUGUGUAAGGUGGUCAAUGUAAAACGUCGUUUUCAUCUUGUCAUUACGAAUAUUGUAAAACCAGUGAUUUUGCGUGAGUAGUGAAAGUAGCCAAACAUCGACGCUAUGCCUUAAACAUAAGAGUGAAUUCGAUUUAACUUUAUGGCGUUGUGAUUAAAAGAGUUAUUGAAGACUGAUGCCUAUUUCGAUCGUUUAAAUGGCGUUAUGAAUAUCACUAGUUUUUGUUGUAGUGGAAAACGAGUGAUCACUGUUCGAGCUCGUAACUGCAUAUAUAACCAGUUAUGGUUAAUAACGCCCAUCGCUAAUUCUGUUGUCAACCUGUCAGAUAAAAUAAAAAUGGCGUUGGGUUUAUAAAAAUCUUAGAAAAAUAGUGCUAUUUUACGUGAAACCGUGGAAUUAAAAGCGUCUUACUGGAAAAUCUAGUAAUCAUGCGAUAUUUCGACAAAUGCAGAUGUUGCCUCGAAGAUGGCGAAUUAAAAGAACUGUGGGCGGAGUAUGUUGAUGAUGGUGGGACAGAAAUCUAUGGACAAAUGUUAAACGAAUGUUUUUCCUUUUCUUGGCAAGAGUCGACCGAUUAUUCGGAGCAGAUCUGUGAGUCGUGCAUCAAACGGUUACGAGAUGCUAUGGUCUUCAGACAGGAAGCGAUGUCUGCCAAACAGAUUCUCGACGAGAUCAUCAAGCAAAACAUAGCAGAGGCGAAAUUAGACAGCAAACCAAUUAAAAUAGAGGUCCUUGAAGACUUCCAGGAGUCAGACGGUGACAAUGAGGAAAACCUGGACCAUGAACAGAUGGUUCAACAGUACAUGCAGCACGAAUACAUAGAAGAAGGAGAGACAAACGAAAGUUUAGAAGAUGAGCAAGAGAGCCAGGGUUGUGUGGACCAGGAGAGGGAGUAUGUGGACUGCUCCAGCCAGUCGGAGGGUCAGCCCGAUGUUGACAUGCAGGUGGAAUAUCUCGAGGAUGAUAGUGAAGCCCAAACGGUCCUGUCGCAGAAACGAAAAUGGCCAAAGAAGCGGAAGAAGGGUGAACGACUGAAGGUUUACAAGAACUACACAAGAACUGACCUCAUGAACGCUAUAGAGAUGGUCCUAUCCAAUAAGAUGACCAGGGCUGAGGCAGCUGCUCAAUUCAACGUGCCUGUUAAGACACUAGGGGCUAAGCUCAGAAUGAAGGAGGCGGCCGGAGAUAGUUACGAUGACCCGGAGACUAAAUCGCAAAGCUACAAAUUUUAUGAGGAAAUCCGCAUGAUACUAACUUACACCAACGCUACACCUUACAAGAGCAAGGUUAGCCGCUUCUUCUGCGCGUACUGUGGCACAGAUGGGCCCCUGUUCGAGGACCCUGUUCUCCUAAGGACACACACUCGCUCCCAACACGCCCAGGAACGUAUCAAGAACAUAGAAAUGUUCAUGAGACCUUUUCAUAUGAACGAAAUUAUUAAACUUGACAUAGAUAAACUGCAAUGCACCGUGUGUACAGUAGGUAUAGAAGAUUGGAACGCAAUGUUCACGCAUUUGCAAGAGCAACACGGCGUGACUUUAGACGCCGCGUAUACGAAAGCGAUCCCGUAUGUCUUGAAGGACGAUUUGCGCUGUGCUCUGUGCAGUGAAAAGUUCUCACAUUUUCAUCUGUUGGAUUACCAUAUGAAUGCACAUUACGGGAACUAUAUAUGUGGGGAAUGCGGUGACACGUUCUUAGCUGAGAAUAGGUUGAAGAGCCACGUUGAGACGCACAGCAAGCAACGAUUCCCAUGCAAUGAGUGCGGGAAAGUCUUCACGUUAGAAAAGUAUAGAAAGAAACACUACGAAGGCGUGCAUUUGAAGGAGCGGAAAUUCAAAUGUAGCUACUGCCCGGAAGUGUUCACAGGCGACUAUCUGAGGCACGCACACGUCCUGGCCCAGCACAAGGAGAAAAUCAAACUGAUCCAUUGUGAGUUCUGCAAGAUGACAUUCACAUGGAGACCAUACUACCUGAAGCACGUGAGACUCAACCACAGGAGGCCAGAGAGGAGGUUCAAGUGCAAGUUAUGCUCCAAGUGUUUUCACCAGAAACACGAGCUGAAGAACCACGAGGACUGGCACCAGGGCAACGGGUACACGUGCCCGGUCUGCGAUAAGAAGUUUUCAUCCAAGAGGUAUCUUCAAAAGCAUACUAUGACGCAUGGUGAUUCCACGUUUGUGGUCAUUGUCAAUAACGGUGAAGGGAAGGAGGUGAUAGAGGGUCAGUAGGUGUUGGACUGUCAGCAGGUGAUAUUACUGUCAGCAGGUGAUAUGACUAUCAGCAGGUGAUAUGACUAUCAGCAGGUGAUAUGACUGUCAGCAGUUGAUAUGACUAUCAGCAGGUGAUAUGACUGUCAGUGGGUGAUAGAUGGUCAGCAGGUUUACGGCCACCGGUAUUUACCUUUUUAAAUCUUUUAAAAAUUUUGUUUAUGACAACCCGGUAUGAGUUUUAUGUGGACGCUAUCUAACCUGAUGAAGUUAAUUUGCGGCCAGGGUGGACCAGUUGAGAUUGACGCCUCCCCCCCGCCCUUUAUUUCAGCGCACGGCACUACGUAUAGAACGGUAACGGAUAACAAAUUACUUUCGGAUAAUUUCGGUUACGGAUAUCAAUUUUUUAAGGAAUUCCAAAAGUAAAAUACAAAUAGGUCCCUAUAAUCGUAAUAGAGGAGCUCGGUGGCGCAGCGGUAAAACGCGCUCGAUCUGCGAUUGUUGAAGUUAAGCAACUUUCGCAAAGGCCGAACUCAUAGGACGGGUGACCACAAAAAAAAGUUUUCAUCUCGAACUCCUCCGUGCUUCGGAAGGCACGUUAAGCCGUUGGUCCCGGCUGCAUUAGCAGUCGUUAAUAACCACCAAUCCGCAUUGGGCCCGCGUGGUGGUUUAAGGCCCGAUCUCCCUAUCCAUCCAUAGGGAAGGCCCGUGCCCCAGCAGUGGGGACGUUAAUGAGGUGGUGAUGAUGACCUAUAAUCGUAGCUGGGCACCGUUAAGCAAAUAGUUAAUCCGCUACAAAAAAGUUAACUUCGUUAAACGUUAAAGCGUUACAUUUCGAAAGAAUUAACGCAAGUUAACGUUAAUCCGUUAAGAGGUAUGUGUUAAAUUGCGUUUUUAGUGCGUUUCGUUAGUGAACUUAUGUUGGUAUAGGUUCUGGAAGUUAACAGGUUAGAAAUAUUAUUAUUAUUUGUAUGUCGUUUCCUUUCUGUCUUUCGAAUUUUCUACUGCUUCUUGUCGUAAUGCAUCUUCUACCUUUUUUUUUCAUGCACUUUUUUACUGCAUCCACUCAACUGCUGUCAUACGUUUAGAUUCAUACUUGUCUGCACCUGUAUUUCGCGCCGCGCUGUGGUGCCGUGUGGUAAAUAGUAGGCAUUGGAUUAACGAGUAACAGACUUCUGCAUAUUAACGGAAGUUAACGUGCCCGUUAACAUUUUUAAAAGUUAACUUAAAAGUUAAUCCGUUAAUCAAAAUGUUAACUUCGUCGAGGAGCUCGGUGGCGCAGCGGUAAACGCGCUCGGCCUGCGAUUGUUGAAGUUAAGCAACUUUCGCAAAGGCCGGUCAUAGGAUGGGUGACCACAAAAAAUAAGUUUUCAUCUCGAGCUCCUCCGUGCUUCGGAAGGCACGUUAAGCCGUUGGUCCCGGCUGCAUUAGCAGUCGUUAAUAACCACCAAUCCGCACUGGGCCCGCGUGGUGGUUUAAGGCCCGAUCUCCCUAUCCAUCCAUGGGAAGGCCCGUGCCCCAGCAGUGGGGACGUUAAUGGGCUGGUGAUGAUGAACGAGUUAAUGCCCAGCUAUGCCUAUAAUAAAGUGGUUUUAUUUAUAACGACAAGUUAUAUAAUGUUAUAACGACAAAAUAUGAAAAAAAAAAACAAUUAAAAAAAAGUGUCGGCACUAGCAGCGGCCACCCGAUCAAAACAACUUGUCAUAACGUGUCUCAAUUAGGCUCCGCCCGGGCGCCCCUAUCCGAUAUUAUCCGAAACUUUUAUUUCGGAUUCGGUUACGGAUAUAUUUUUAUAUCGGAUAUCCGAUAGUUACGGUUACGGAGCUCCCUAACAUCCCUGGUUUUUGUACAGAGCGUAUAGAGUGUAGGUACCCCUGAUCCUUGUGAAUAUAACCUUUUUAGAUAAAUAUGUAUGAAUUAUUCUGUAUCGAAUUUGAUUGUUUUUCACAAAUUAUUGUGUUCAUUCCAUUGAAUAAAUUGUAUACACAAU
rnacentral:misc_RNA from 1 species